rnacentral:rRNA from 1 species
GACGAACGCUGGCGGCGUGCCUACUACAUGCAAGUAGGGCGCAGUUGCGAAAGGGUGAGCCACGCGUAGGUAACUACCUAUUAGAGGGGGAUAACUAUUGGAAACGAUAGCUAAUACCGCAUACUAGUAGAUGGACCUGCGUUGUAUUAGCCAGUAGGUAGGGUAAUGGCCUACCUAGGCAACGAUCCAUAGCCGACCUGGUGAGGUGAGCGGCCACACUGGGACUGAGACACGGCCCAGACUCCUACGGUAGGAAGCAGUAGGGAAUCUUCGGCAAUGGGGGGAACCCUGACCGCGCAACGCCGCGUGAGUGAAGAAGGUUUUCGGAUCGUAAAGCUCUGUUGUUAAGGAAGCGGUACUUAACCAGAAAGGGACGGCUAACUACGUGCCAGGAGGCGCGGUAAUAC